rnacentral:lncRNA from 1 species
UUCGAUCCCGAUGACGCAAAUGUGUCGUCACGAGCAAAACAAUAUGGCCACCUCUAAUGAGAACCAAGUGCAAUAAGUUCCCGGAUGUAGACAGCACUGACGUCACCGGGAUCGAAACCGACGACAUCAGUACUGGACCUAUGGCGAAGCAAAGUAGUGACAUCCCCCUGGUGAAAAUGCCAGACUUCGUGAUAUCUGCACCAGUGAACUGUGUCGCACAUUUGAUCCCAAUAAUGAACAGCACAGGGGUGACGUAAAAAUGUGCGUUAGUUGGAGCACCUAAACUCAGAUUGUCAUUACCUAAUUAGUUUUCACAUUGUAAAGCUUAAACUACACUUCAUGCUCUUUUGGCUCACCUGUUAUCAGUAUCAGUAAAUAGGGUAUUAGUAAAUCUGGCGUUACCAUCAAUGCUAAGUGCUAACAAGUAAAUAUGAAGUCCAAGGAAGAUAAAAAUCAUAAUCUUACUUGACCUAACCUUACCUACUAACCUAACUAACCUACAACCUACAAACCUCAACCUACAUACAACCUCCAUACGUACAACCUACCCACCUACAACCUACCAACCUUAUAUGUGCCGACGGUGGCACCAGAUUUAUGGAUACCCUUAUUUGUUAGGUACUUCACUCCACUUCUCAUUUUAUUUGAAGCUCAUUUAAAUUCUUGUAUUUAAGUCUGUGUAAACUAUUAUUUUAAAAACCUGAUGCUUUUCCAUGACUGUAAUCUCACUGUUUGCUAUGUGUAUUUUGUAGUGUGUACUGUGUGCAAAUCCAGUAUCCUACACUUGUAUGCUACAGGCCUUGUUUUGAUCUGACUAACUGUUAAUAUGUUUCAGCUUUAAAGACUAGUAUCUUUUGAAAUUGAAAUUUGCCUCUCAGUCUCUCAAGAAUCAAGAUGCCAAAUAGAUGUGCAGGAUUUGAUUGCUGACAAACCAGGGAUGAGGCUCAAGAGUCAAGAGAUCACCCUGCAUUGGCAAGUGGCUGGAACAACCCCAGUGCCGCACAGUUCUGCGGGAUAUUCCGGCACCUGCUCCACCGCUGCGGCGUCUGGCCCGGCAGCACAGGGAAAGUGGCAGCCCUCGACCCGACCAGCAUCCUGGCAGUCGGUCACACGACCAGCGGACGGGGAGCCAGCCUUACUACCUCGGCCUCCACCACCUCAGACAACGGUGCCACGGCACUCCACAUCAUCACGGAGCGCGACUUCCAGCCUGGGCUGUCGUCUGGUGGGCAACAUCGUCACCUACAUCGCAGGGUUCGUGGUGAAGAAGGCGCUCGACUCUGUCAGCUGUAGCACCUGUCAGGAGGCCCUGGUGAGCGACAUCCAGCCGGACGACAUGACACAGCUUUACCACCUCUUCAUCAUCUCUGCCAGAUGAGCUAAGGUGGGGACGGGUUACAUGCCUGGGAUCUGACUGAGACCCGCUCAUACCCUGCCGAAGUGUUGGUGAUUUCAGCGGUCAGCUGUCUCUAGCCGGUGUCAGUGAGUGGCGGCCAGCUGCCGCUGGAGUGGGUAUCUACCGUCGAUAGCUGCUGUGUGGCGGAUAGCGUGGAUUUGGAUGGACACUUCAUAUUAAUGAACAGAUCAAUGUCUGGCCGAUAAAAGACGUAUUUUGUCGAUGAUUGCUUAGUGACUGAGUGGGUCCACUGGCGACCAAUGCAGUGGGCGCUGGGUUAACGCCUCGCCUCUUGUGACCGUGUCGAUAUGUAGCACUGUUAAUUGCCGAUUCGUUGCCGGCCGUCUCUGCUCCGUGGCUGGCUGAUCCGGCACAAACUGGUGUUCGUGGCUGAAGGCGCGGCUACAGUUACACUAGCUCGCCACGUGCCUGUGCGACUAUCGUCGGUGCUGUCUGCAAGGGCGAUGUCGGUGCCUGUAGGGGGCGCGGAUUGAUUCAAAGUGAGGAAUGGGUCAUCGGA